rnacentral:rRNA from 2 species
GACCCGAAACCCGGUGAUCUAGCCAUGGGCAGGUUGAAGGUUGGGUAACACUAACUGGAGGACCGAACCGACUAAUGUUGAAAAAUUAGCGGAUGACCUGUGGCUGGGGGUGAAAGGCCAAUCAAACCGGGAGAUAGCUGGUUCUCCCCGAAAGCUAUUUAGGUAGCGCCUCGUGAAUUCAUCUCCGGGGGUAGAGCACUGUUUCGGCUAGGGGGCCAUCCCGGCUUACCAACCCGAUGCAAACUGCGAAUACCGGAGAAUGUUAUCACGGGAGACACACGGCGGGUGCUAACGUCCGUCGUGAAGAGGGAAACAACCCAGACCGCCAGCUAAGGUCCCAAAGUCAUGGUUAAGUGGGAAACGAUGUGGGAAGGCCCAGACAGCCAGGAUGUUGGCUUAGAAGCAGCCAUCAUUUAAAGAAAGCGUAAUAGCUCACUGGUCGAGUCGGCCUGCGCGGAAGAUGUAACGGGGCUAAACCAUGCAC